CCUACGGGUGGCAGCAGUGGGGAAUAUUGGGCAAUGGGCGCAAGCCUGACCCAGCAACGCCGCGUGAAGGAAGAAGGCUUUCGGGUUGUAAACUUCUGUUCUCAGGGACGAAGAAAGUGACGGUACCUGAGGAAUAAGCCCCGGCUAACUAUGCGCCAGCAGCCGCGGUAAUACGUAGGUGGCAAGCGUGAUCCGGAUUUAUUGGGUGUAAAGGGCGUGUAGGUGGGAGCGAAAGUCAGAUGUAAAAACUCAGGGCUCAACCCUGAGCCUGCAUUUGAAACUGUGUUGCGUGUGUGCUGGAGAGGCACUCGGAAUUCCGUGUGUAGCGGUGAGAUGCGUAGAUAUACGGAGGAACAACAGUGGAGAAGGCGGAUUGCUGGACAGUAACUGACGCUGAGGCGCGAAAGCGUGGGGAGCAAACAGGAUUAGAUACCACUAGUC
rnacentral:rRNA from 1 species